UGUGUCCCAGGUGUGCUUGGGUGUGUCCCAGGUGUGUCCCAGGUGUGCCCAGGUGUGUUUGGGUGUGUCCCAGGUGUGUUUGGGUGUGUCCCAGGUGUGUUUGGGUGUGUCCCAGGUGUGUCCCAGGUGUGCCCAGGUGUGUUUGGGUGUGUCCCAGGUGUGCCCCAGGUGUGC